UAUGUGUUUUGGGUGUGUGUGUAAGGUCCCAAGUUCAAGCCUUAACUUGGGCAAAAUUUUGUUUUUAAAUGAACAAAGCCUUACUCUUGUCCAGUAGGCUUAAGUUUAAAUGUUAGUAAAUUAAUAUAAAAAUGGGCCUGUUGGUUUGGUGGUUAAGUGGAGUGUCAAGUGUGCUGAAGAUCUUGUGUUUGAUUCCCUGCUUCAGUUUUUAUUUUUCAGUGGUUAUAGGGAGGAGUUUGAGUGGCGUUAGAAUUCUAAGUAGUGGGGAGUUCAUAGAGAAAAUUAAGGGAUUGUGGUUAGUGGGAAUUAUCAGAAUAUUUUUCUGAUUGAUUUCUUUUUGGCAAAAUUUGACACAUUCUCUCCUUUCUUCCAAAAUUCUGACUUUUGAUUAUCCUCUCUCCUUACCGAAUUUUCAUCUUGUUCACAUCUGUUCUUUUCAAUUUCUUUCCUAUUUCAUUUCUGUUCUACCUCUGUCUGGGUCAACGACUGUUUUGCACAUUCAGUAAGUUUUAGUAUUCAAUUGGUUUAGACUAUUCUUUUGUAUAUUGAUUUAAAAGGGGUUUCGGCUGGUUUAUAGGUAUUAACCGAGGGGCUGGUGAUCGUUUCUCAACGGUUUAAGAGGGUUGGACUUCUGUUGUUCGAACGAGGGUUUCAGAGGGCUGGGAGACUAUAUUCGUAUCAAAGGAAACUAGGUAAUUCCCAGACUUGAUAGGUCGGUGCAGCGGAGGACUUAGCAAGGGCCACACAGUUUUCCAUUUGGACUAUUUUCUGUUUACAUAUGAUUUAAUUUAUAUUUGGGGAAAAUUUGAUGUAAUUAAGGCCUUUACAGAUUUUUGCUUAAUUUGGGAUUUUGGAAUGUUUUACAAAACCACCACGGAUACGAAAAUGUUUUUAAAAGCUUCCGCGUAAAAGUAAUAUUUUAAAUCAAA